rnacentral:rRNA from 1 species
CGUUCCCGGGCCUUGUACACACCGCCCGUCACACCAUGGGAGUUGGUUUUACCCGAAGGCGGUGCGCCAACCGUAAGGAGGCAGCCGACCACGGUAGGGUCAGCGACUGGGGUG